GUGAGGAAUAUUGGACAAUGGGCGCAAGCCUGAUCCAGCCAUGCCGCGUGCAGGAAGACGCAUCUAUGGUGUGUAAACUGCUUUUGUACGGGAAGAAACACUCCCUCGUGAGGGAGCUUGACGGUACCGUAAGAAUAAGGAUCGGCUAACUCCGUGCCAGCAGCCGCGGUAAUACGGAGGAUCCAAGCGUUAUCCGGAAUCAUUGGGUUUAAAGGGUCCGUAGGCGGUUUACUAAGUCAGUGGUGAAAGCCCAUCGCUCAACGAUGGAACGGCCAUUGAUACUGUUAGACUUGAAUUACAAGGAAGUAACUAGAAUAUGUAGUGUAGCGGUGAAAUGCUUAGAUAUUACAUGGAAUACCAAUUGCGAAGGCAGGUUACUACUUGUGGAUUGACGCUGAUGGACGAAAGCGUGGGGAGCGAACAGGAUUAGAAACCCGAGUAGUCC
rnacentral:rRNA from 1 species